AAAAGGAAAAACUGGACGUUCGCAGACGAUAGCACGUGUAGGUCACAAUUUAACAAGAAGACAUGGAAAUAUGAGCUUAAAAAGGUUGCCCAUCCAUUAGCAUGGCUGCUUCCAUGGAUGGUCUACCCACUGCUAAGCAUACAGCGUAGUGACCAUUGUUGAUGCUGCCUUCAACAAUGAGCCCAGAGCAUGAUCAAGAGAGGGUGCAAUCUGUCUAGCAUCAGGGGCUCCUUUGGUGGGGGACUGCACUUUGCUGGUUCAAGACCAACUAUCCCCUUGCAGUCAACUGAUGAGGGGGUGCUUCAGCUCAUGGUUGAUACUCGGCCAUCGCGUGCCUUUCACUCCAACAAACGAGGUUGAUGAGAGACACCGCCUUCACAGAUGUCUACAGAAUGGCUACCCUCUCCAGUUUGGACAAGAGUUCUUGGACUUCCCAAAAUGAACUCCCGAAAGAGUGCCUAACAGCAGUCUACCCUCAUCAUGCUACCAUCAGCAGAACUCCAGGGAUCAGACGAGGUUAGCGUGCAC